rnacentral:lncRNA from 1 species
AUAUUACAAAAUAUCAGUUUAAUUGCCGGAUGUUAAAAACGAAAUCUUGACACAUGUCUAUGAUUUGUAGAAGACUGAUAGAGAUCACUUUGAUUGAUGUGUCUCCCAUAGUGCAGGACUUCACCCAAUCCGGUAGAACUCCCAAAGGGAAGACACUUCCAUGAUUGCCACUAGGUGGCGGUCUCUCUCUUGUAAGAAAACUGGUUGUGAUCCCGGUGCAAAGGAACUAGAUAUAUGUAGUAGCCCAUUUGUAGCCUUCACAAGUAUAAGAAGCUCAAGAAUGGAGAGAGGAAAUAAUGUUUAUACUUUAUACUAGAUAUAUAUAUAUAUAUAUAUAUUCUGUUCUGGAUGGCAGGUUGGAGACGGGUUGCUCCUUUACAGAGCUAUCACAGUUAAUAUAAUUUAAGAUGUGUUUGACACAGUAUGUUACAAAUCCAUCUCCUUUGAUCAGAUAUGUUUGCACAUCUUUCUUCCACGAACGCAUACAAGGGUAGGAGGCAAAGAGCUGACAUGAAAAUAAUGAGGAAUCGUCAGUAAUAUUGAUGUUUUUUUUUUCUUUUUCUGUGGAGCACUCGAGAAACGACUGCAACGGAAUACCUGAAUGCGGAGGUGACAUUAUAGGCGUUCUAGUAUGUGUGUUUAGGGAGUUUUAGCGCGAAUGUCCUGCAGUGAUAGUCAUGUACUUCUUGUUAACCGCAGUUAGAUGAUCCAAGCAUGCCGGCGCAUACGAUUUCGCGUCCCACCCCAGUUACACCCGAGGGAAGCAGACUAUGGCGGACCUGUCCAUUUCAGAACCGAGCGCAUCCAACACCGCAACAGAAACAAACUCGGCAAGUCUUCUAAGAGCAUCCGGUUGAAAGAGUCAGCGGGCCAGACAGCGGAUUUUGGGGACCAUCUUCUUCACCUUUUGCGUAAUCAACAUCAUCGAUGGCAUCACACUUGCAAAAUCCGGAUUUUCAAAGUUGUUUCUAUGGCAGGGCCUGUACUGAAGAUGAGCUGGGACCUCAGGCAGAUCCUCAUCGCUGUUUUCCUGCAGUCCAGAAGUCUGCAAGAGGGACUGCAGUAGCCGUGACCAUAGCUCUGGGAGUCGUACGGCAGGAAAACCAAAAAGCACUGACGCUAAUCAGGUGUGACAGGACCGUGCCUUCUGAGGGAUCAUGUCUCAGUCAGGCAAGGUCUACCACGUGUAUGUGGAGGUGCGAGACGGGGAAGUGCUAGACCCCUUGAUGCUCCAGAGGCCAGAUCUGCUCCCGGGGUCCCAGCGGACGUCGCCC